GCCGCGAUAAUUUGAUCGUGCAAAGGUAGCAUAAUAAUUAGUUUCUUAAUUAGGAACUGGAAUGAAAGGUCGAACGAGAAAAAGACUGUCUCAAUUUAAUUUAAAUUAGAAUUUUAUUUUUAAGUUAAAAAGCUUAAAUAUUUUUAAAAGACGAGAAGACCCUAUAGAGUUUUAUAUUUAUAUUUAUAUUUUUAAUUUAAGAAUUUUAUAAAAAAAUUUUUAUAUAGAUAUUUAAUUGGGGUGAUUGGAAAAUUAAAUAAACUUUUCUUAAAUAUUUUACAUUAAUAAAUGAAUAUAUGAUCCAUAUUUUAUGAUUAUAAGAUUAAAUUACCUUAGGAUAAAAA
rnacentral:rRNA from 1 species